rnacentral:pre_miRNA from 1 species
ACAACAUUCGGACCGUCGGUCUAACGAGCAAUAUCACCCGCUUGAUGGAAGGUCUUCCUUUUAUCGU